rnacentral:rRNA from 1 species
AGACCCGAAACCCGGUGAUCUAGCCAUGGGCAGGUUGAAGGUUGGGUAACACUAACUGGAGGACCGAACCGACUAAUGUUGAAAAAUUAGCGGAUGACCUGUGGCUGGGGGUGAAAGGCCAAUCAAACCGGGAGAUAGCUGGUUCUCCCCGAAAGCUAUUUAGGUAGCGCCUCGUGAAUUCAUCUCCGGGGGUAGAGCACUGUUUCGGCUAGGGGGCCAUCCCGGCUUACCAACCCGAUGCAAACUGCGAAUACCGGAGAAUGUUAUCACGGGAGACACACGGCGGGUGCUAACGUCCGUCGUGAAGAGGGAAACAACCCAGACCGCCAGCUAAGGUCCCAAAGUCAUGGUUAAGUGGGAAACGAUGUGGGAAGGCCCAGACAGCCAGGAUGUUGGCUUAGAAGCAGCCAUCAUUUAAAGAAAGCGUAAUAGCUCACUGGUCGAGUCGGCCUGCGCGGAAGAUGUAACGGGGCUAAACCAUGCACCGAAGCUGCGGCAGCGACGCUGAUGCGUUGUUGGGUAGGGGAGCGUUCUGUAAGCCUGCGAAGGUGACCUGUGAGGGUUGCUGGAGGUAUCAGAAGUGCGAAUGCUGACAUAAGUAACGAUAAAGCGGGUGAAAAGCCCGCUCGCCGGAAGACCAAGGGUUCCUGUCCAACGUUAAUCGGGGCAGGGUGAGUCGACCCCUAAGGCGAGGCCGAAAGGCGUAGUCGAUGGGAAACGGGUUAAUAUUCCCGUACUUGGUGUUACUGCGAAGGGGGGACGGAGAAGGCUAUGUUGGCCGGGCGACGGUUGUCCCGGUUUAAGCGUGUAGGUGUGUGUUCCAGGUAAAUCCGGUUCACUUUAACAC